rnacentral:SRP_RNA from 1 species
CAUCGGUUCCCACGCGACGAUUAACUGCAAACCCCGCCAGGCCCGGAAGGGAGCAACGGUAGCAGGGACAUUGGGCGCCGAGGUGUAGCUGGUGUCA